UCCCUCCGGUGCGUCGGCAUCGCCCGCCUCCCGCGUGGGCGGCGACGACGCGUUCCCCGCGUCCCGCGCCGGCUCGGCCGCCGCCGGUGGGACC
rnacentral:tRNA from 1 species